rnacentral:rRNA from 1 species
UAGCCGUAAACGAUACUCGCUAGGUGUCGGCCACGGUGCGACCGUUGUCGGUGCCGUAGGGAAGCCGUGAAGCGAGCCACCUGGGAAGUACGGCCGCAAGGCUGAAACUUAAAGGAAUUGGCGGGGGAGCACAACAACGGGUGGAGCUUGCGGUUUAAUUGGAUUCAGCGCCGGAAAUCUUACCGGGACCGACAGCAACAUGAAGGCCAAGCUGAAGACUUUGCCGGAUUAGCUGAGAGGUGGUGCAUGGCGUAGUCGUGU